CAAAGUCAUAGUGCUUGACAAGAUUUAAAUCCUUAUAGUAGAAGCUCUUUUAUUUGAGUUCACUUAGUAGACAAAAUAUUGAAUAUAAGAUUAUGAAAUAUUUAUAUAUAUAAAAAAUAUCUCACAAAUGAGUGUGUGAUGCAGUGAUAGCGUGGUGUUAAUCUUCAGUGAGAGGUCGUGAGUUCGACUCCUGGGUACAUUAACAAAGACGGUUAUAGUGUCUGCUUCCAGAAAGUGCGAUUAACAUUGGCGCUAAGCUGGAGGCGGCCAGAAAUAAAAAAAAAAACGACCGUAUCCGAAAAUGAACUCCGUGGUAGUGUACAUAUAUAGUUUUGAGACAAAUAAAAUUGUCUUGGAGAUGGUUGAUCGGCUAGGAAAUGGAGCUGCCUGCCUCCAUGCCUAAAGUUGUGUGCUGAUUGCUGAAGUCAUGAAGCAGCGUAAAAGAUUUGCAACAGGCUGCCACGAUGAGCUCCCAUGCAAGUCCGCCAAGCGAAAGUUUGUGUUCUCGGAUGUCGACUAGAUAUGGGCUCAGACGCUUACUUGGAUCCGAUGCUUCUGGCAGUGCAUCUACUGAAAUGUCACUGUCCUACUUCCUCUUGCAGCGGUCAAUAUAUACUAGUAGCAUGUAGGAGUAUGUAUAUAUUGCGGUUGCGGCAAAGAUUGUGUUGGGAUCGGAGCAGCAGUCCAAAAUAAAUAAGAAACCCAACAUGUACUUUUACACUAAUGAGAGACUGUAUAAUAUAUUGCUAAUAAAACACACACACACAGAGAGAGAUUGUCGAUUGAGGACUUGGCUUUCCUUUUCAUCUUGCGUGAUGUAUUCUUUAUUACUCGGCAGAUGUUAUAAAAGAAUAUUAUUACUCGGAAGAAGAAACGUGAGUUU
rnacentral:lncRNA from 1 species